UACGGAGGAUGCAAGCGUUAUCCGGAAUGAUUGGGCGUAAAGCGUCCGCAGGUGGCUGUGUAAGUCUGCUGUCAAAGAGCGAAGCUCAACUUCGUAAAGGCAGUGGAAACUACACGGCUAGAGUGCGUUCGGGGCAGAGGGAAUUCCUGGUGUAGCGGUGAAAUGCGUAGAGAUCAGGAAGAACACCCGUGGCUAAGGCGGCUCUCUAGUACGGUACUGACGCUGAGACGCGAAAGCGUGGGGAGCGAACAGG
rnacentral:rRNA from 1 species